AACUAUCAGGUCUGUGGUUGAAAGUCGAUGCCAGUCGCAGGCGAAACGAUCCACGUAAGUCAAACAAAGUUUGAUGAGCAUGGUGCGGUUUAGAAGUAAGUCCUGCCGGUAAAACCGAGAGAGGGAUUCGUGAUGGGAAUGCACCUUGAGCAAAACCUCCAGCAGGCGGGUGUGGGGUCAAAGACCAGGUCAGCUGAUAGUU
rnacentral:ncRNA from 1 species